UACGGAGGGGGCUAGCGUUGUUCGGAAUUACUGGGCGUAAAGCGCACGUAGGCGGCUUUGUAAGUUAGAGGUGAAAGCCCAGGGCUCAACCCUGGAAUUGCCUUUAAGACUGCACCGCUAGAAUUGUGGAGAGGUAAGUGGAAUUCCGAGUGUAGAGGUGAAAUUCGUAGAUAUUCGGAAGAACACCAGUGGCGAAGGCGACUUACUGGACAAAUAUUGACGCUGAGGUGCGAAAGCGUGGGGAGCAAACAGG
rnacentral:rRNA from 1 species